rnacentral:rRNA from 1 species
GACGAACGCUGGCGGCGUGCCUAACACAUGCAAGUCAAGGCGGUAGCAAUACCGACUGGCGCACGGGUGCGGAACACGUAGGUAAUCUGCCCUUUAGGGGAGAACAACUCAUCGAAAGGUGAGCUAAAUCUCCGUAAUGUUUUACUAUGGCAUCAUAGUUCAACCUAAGUUUUCGUAAGGGAUGAGCCUGCGUCUGAUUAGCUAGUUGGUGAGGUAACUGCUCACCAAGGCUACGAUCAGUAGCUGGUCUGAGAGGAUGAUCAGCCACAUUGGGACUGAGACACGGCCCAGACUCCGUACGGGAGGCAGCAGUGAGGAAUAUUGCUCAAUGGACGAAAGUCUGAAGCAGCAACGCCGCGUGAGGGAUGAAGGUGCUCUGC